GACGUAGGGCGCGAGCGUUGUCCGGAAUUAUUGGGCGUAAAGAGCUCGUAGGCGGUCUGUCGCGUCUGCUGUGAAAACUCAGGGCUUAACCCUGAGCUUGCAGUGGGUACGGGCAGACUAGAGUGCGGUAGGGGAGACUGGAAUUCCUGGUGUAGCGGUGAAAUGCGCAGAUAUCAGGAGGAACACCGGUGGCGAAGGCGGGUCUCUGGGCCGUAACUGACGCUGGAGGAGCGAAAGCAUGGGGAGCGAACAGG
rnacentral:rRNA from 1 species